rnacentral:lncRNA from 1 species
UUCUCCGCAAUUGCAAAGAAAAGCCAUUUAUUGAUGGCUAAAAAGCCACCUAGACUAUCAUAUUUUUGCAUAUUUUAUGCUUAAAACUACACAUUAUUUAUGUUACCCUCUGAACUAUAGCUUUCAAGGAUUAAACCCCUAAUUCAAUAUUUUUUUAGAUGUGUGUAUUUACUCUCCUAAAACGCUUUAAAUAGUGCCAAGUAACACUAGGGGUGUGCAUUCGAUUUACCGAUACGAUUUUGACCCUUAUCGAUAAUUACUUAUCGAUUAUCGAUUUGUACAUAGGCUUAUCGUUAUCGUUUCA